GUUCUCUGCAGAAUUCCAAUUUUAAUAGGACAUGUUCCAAUUUUCUGGUCUGGUUACUCUGGCCUCCAAGAACAAGCAAGUUUGGCUGCAGAAACCCAUGCCAAGUCCUGCUUAAGAGGAAAGUGUGUGGUUCUAGAAAGGAUAAAAGAGUGCCUUCAUUUUGGCAAGAUGAUUUAGGGGUCUUCUUGAUACUUAUCUCUGUGGACAAGUUGGGGAACUGUUGGCCAGAAGAGUCAUUCAUAUCAUGUACUUCCUGUGUUCUGCAUUGAAAUCACAAAGAUGAAUAAAACAUGGUCUUUGCCUUGGAGAAACUCAGCCUUGUGAGUGAGACAGCUAUGUAAAGAAGUAAUUAUGAUACACUUCGAUAAAUGUGUAAUUCAGUCA